rnacentral:rRNA from 1 species
UGGGGAAUAUUGGACAAUGGGCGAAAGCCUGAUCCAGCCAUGCCGCGUGUGUGAAGAAGGUCUUCGGAUUGUAAAGCACUUUAAGUUGGGAGGAAGGGCAUUAACCUAAUACGUUAGUGUUUUGACGUUACCGACAGAAUAAGCACCGGCUAACUCUGUGCCAGCAGCCGCGGUAAUACAGAGGGUGCAAGCGUUAAUCGGAAUUACUGGGCGUAAAGCGCGCGUAGGUGGUUUGUUAAGUUGGAUUUGAAAUCCCCGGGCUCAACCUGGGAACUGCAUUCAAAACUGACUGACUAGAGUAUGGUAGAGGGUGGUGGAAUUUCCUGUGUAGCGGUGAAAUGCGUAGAUAUAGGAAGGAACACCAGUGGCGAAGGCGACCACCUGGACUAAUACUGACACUGAGGUGCGAAAGCGUGGGGAGCAAACA